UUAAUACAUUACUUUAGACUUAUCAAAAACACAAAUCACAUGCCAUUAUUGUGGGCAAAACAAUCGUACCGAUGCAAUAUAUGCACGGUAGAGGGUAGAGAAGAAGAUUCAACCAGUUAUCACCAAAGAGAAAAAGAGGAAUACAAAUGGAAUAAAUAAAAACUAAAAAUUAAAAACAAAGCUUAACUGAUCUUGACUGCUUUGAGAAUCCUCCUCUAGGAAUAUUGUUCAAGUUGGAUAAAGAAGUAAAAGACAGUGCCUGAAAAAGCAAAAGAAAAUGAUAAAGACUGCCUGAGAAUUGAGCAAGAAAGCGAAAGAAGCUGGUAGCAUCACUUGGGCAUUGGAAGCACCAAACCUCGUGGUUUGUCGUUCC
rnacentral:lncRNA from 1 species